AUCGAGCGUGAAAUCGAGUAGGGCGGGACACGUGAUAUCCUGUCUGAAUAUGGGGGGACCAUCCUCCAAGGCUAAAUACUCCUGACUGACCGAUAGUGAACCAGUACCGUGAGGGAAAGGCGAAAAGAACCCCUGUGAGGGGAGUGAAAUAGAACCUGAAACCGUGUACGUACAAGCAGUAGGAGCACCUUCGUGGUGUGACUGCGUACCUUUUGUAUAAUGGGUCAGCGACUUAUAUUCAGUGGCAAGGUUAACCGUAUAGGGGAGCCGUAGCGAAAGCGAGUCUUAACUGGGCGCUCAGUCUCUGGAUAUAGACCCGAAACCGGGUGAUCUAGCCAUGGGCAGGUUGAAGGUUGAGUAACAUCAACUGGAGGACCGAACCGACUAAUGUUGAAAAAUUAGCGGAUGACUUGUGGCUAGGGGUGAAAGGCCAAUCAAACUCGGAGAUAGCUGGUUCUCCCCGAAAGCUAUUUAGGUAGCGCCUCGGACGAAUACUACUGGGGGUAGAGCACUGUUAAGGCUAGGGGGUCAUCCCGACUUACCAACCCUUUGCAAACUCCGAAUACCAGUAAGUACUAUCCGGGAGACACACGGCGGGUGCUAACGUCCGUCGUGGAGAGGGAAACAACCCAGACCGCCAGCUAAGGUCCCAAAGUAUUGCUAAGUGGGAAACGAUGUGGGAAGGCUCAGACAGCUAGGAUGUUGGCUUAGAAGCAGCCAUCAUUUAAAGAAAGCGUAAUAGCUCACUAGUCGAGUCGGCCUGCGCGGAAGAUGUAACGGGGCUAAGCA
rnacentral:rRNA from 1 species